GGCCUGUUAGCUCAGUCGGCAGAGCGUGGUGCUAAUACCGCUAAGGUCGUGAGUUCGAUCCUCACACAGGCCA
rnacentral:tRNA from 1 species